rnacentral:rRNA from 1 species
GUGGGGAAUAUUGGACAAUGGGCGCAAGCCUGAUGCAGCAACGCCGCGUGAGGGAUGACGGCCUUCGGGUUGUAAACCUCUUUUAGUAGGGAAGAAGCGAAAGUGACGGUACCUGCAGAAAAAGCACCGGCUAACUACGUGCCAGCAGCCGCGGUAAUACGUAGGGUGCAAGCGUUGUCCGGAAUUAUUGGGCGUAAAGAGCUCGUAGGCGGCUUGUCGCGUCUGCUGUGAAAUCCCGGGGCUCAACCCCGGGCCUGCAGUGGGUACGGGCAGGCUAGAGUGCGGUAGGGGAGAUUGGAAUUCCUGGUGUAGCGGUGGAAUGCGCAGAUAUCAGGAGGAACACCGAUGGCGAAGGCAGAUCUCUGGGCCGCUACUGACGCUGAGGAGCGAAAGCAUGGGGAGCGAACAGGAUUAGAAACCCCUGUAGUCC